rnacentral:rRNA from 1 species
ACCCCACUGCUAUCGGGAUAAGACUAAGCCAUGCAAGUCAAGCGUCUCCAAGCUAUGUUGGAGAUGCGGCGUACGGCUCAGUAACACGUGGUUAAUCUACCCUUGGGACGGGAAUAACUCCGGGAAACUGGAGCUAAUACCCGAUGGGCGGGAACGCCUGGAAUGGUCUCCCGCUGAAAUGGCGUUGAAAGCAUGCUUUCAACGUUGCCCAAGGAUGAGACCGCGGCCGAUCAGGUUGUUGGUGAGGUAACGGCUCACCAAGCCUAUAACCGGUACGGGCCCUGAGAGGGGGAGCCCGGAGAUGGAACCUGAGACAAGGUUCCAGGUCCUACGGGACACAGCAGGCGCGAAACCUCCGCAAUGCACGAAAGUGCGAUGGGGUUAUCCCGAGUGCCGUCUGAUGAAGAUGGCUUUUCACUGGUGUAAUGAGCCAGUGGAAUAAGGGGAGGGCAAGACUGGUGUCAGCCGCCGCGGUAAUACCAGCUCCCCGAGUGGUGGGGACGAUUACUGGGCCUAAAGCGUUCGUAGCCGGCUUAACAAGUCUUCCGUUNAAUCUGGCGACCCAAUCGUCAGGCUGCGGGGGAUACUAUUAGGCUAGGGGGCGGGAGAGGUCGACGGUAUUCUCGGGGUAGGGGUGAAAUCCUAAGAUCCUGAGAGGACCACCAGUGGCGAAGGCGGUCGACCAGAACGCGCCCGACGGUGAGGGACGAAAGCUGGGGUAGCGAACCGGAUUAGAUACCCGGGUAGUCCCAGCCGUAAACGAUGCAGGCUAGGUGUUGGAGCGGCUACGAGCCGCUUCAGUGCCGCAGGGAAGCUAUUAAGCCUGCCGCCUGGGGAGUACGGUCGCAAGACUGAAACUUAAAGGAAUUGGCGGGGGGAGCACCACAAGGGGUGAAGGCUGCGGUUCAAUUGGAGUCAACGCCCGAAAACUUACCGGGGGAGACAGCAGGAUGAAGGUCAGAUUGAAGGUCUUACCAGACAAGCUGAGAGGUGGUGCAUGGCCGUCGUCAGUUCGUGCCGUGAGGUGUCCUGUUAAGUCAGGUAACGAACGAGACCUCCGCCGUCAGUUGCCAGCGAAUCCCAUUGGGAUGUCGGGCACUCUGGCGGGACCGCUGCCGAUAAGGCAGAGGAAGGAGGAGGCAACGGCAGGUCAGUAUGCCCUGAAUCCUCCGGGCUACACGCGGCCUGCAAUGGUAGGGACAGAGGGUCCCAACCCCGAAAGGGGAAGGCAAUCCCUAAACCCUAUCGUAGUUGGGAUCGAGGGCUGAAACCCGCCCUCGUGAACAUGGAAUCCCUAGUAACCGCGCGUCACUAUCGCGCAGUGAAUACGUCCCCUCUCCUUGCACACACCGCCCGUCGCUCCACCCAAAUUGGGUCUAGAUGAGGCGUGGUCUACUUGGCUACGUCAAAUCUGGGUUCAGUGAGGAGGGAGAAGU